GGGGGCUCCGCCGGGAUUGACGGCGCCAUCGGCCAAUCGCGGCGCAGCGCCGCCGCGUCUCAGCCAAUCAGCGGCGCGAGGCGCGGCGGAAGCCAAUGGGGGAGCGGCUGUGCCGGGCAGGGGGACAGCCCGGCGCCGAGCCCGGGCUCAUUCCGCGCUGCCGCCUGAUGGGGACGGAGCGGUCGCGGCUCCGCCGCGCCGGGUGCGGUGCGCGCUGCGCCCGCGGCCCGCCCGAGCCUGGGGGAGGCGGCGGGUCGGGGAGCGGCGGCCAAACCGGAGCCGCCCGGCCAGGGGCGAGCAGCCAGGAGGGAGGGAAAGGUGCUGCUGGAUGAGGAUCCAAGCCCAAGAGCUGCUCUUUUCCAAGGACUUUGGGAUUUCCAAACUCUUCCUAUUAGUUGGAGCAGAACUCAGGGCGGGAUGGAGAUAAAGUCUCAGCUGUGAGCAUGGAGAAAUUCCAGGGAUGUGGAUGAAAGCAGCAGGAAUUACGUUGGGAAUGGGACAGGAAAAGCUGGAUCCAGCUGCAGGUGUGUCCAGAGGUGACUCCUGGGCUGAAUCUUCGGGAAUUUUUAAUGGAAUUCUUGCUCCUGGUGCUGCUGGAAACCUUUGGGAAAGAACUUUUCUCUUGGAAAAAAAAAAAAUUCCCUGGGACACGCUUGGAUUUAAAAGGAAUUUCUGGGAAUCCA